GAUUUUAUCGACGUCACACUUACGACCGACUCUAUCAUCGCGGCCGUCGAAUCCGCCGAUUUGAAGAACACCAAUAGCGAGAACAUGAACAAUGCCAAUACAAAUAACAAGAGCGAAGGAGUGGUGGCUGAGAGUGGAGCCGACGGAGUUGUGAACUUGCAAAAUGCGAGUAUAAGGCAGAGAUAUUGUCGCAUCCGCUGUACAAGCAGCUCCUCUCGACACAAGUGGCUUGCUUGAGGUCAAACAUAUCAGUACUUGAGGAUAAGUUAAUUGGUUACAAUGAUAAAGUUUUGAAUCUUUGACUACAAGUUAAGUUGUAAAUUUGAAGCAGAAUGAGCAAGGAUUUUAUUAGGAGAUGGCAAAAUUUUGAAACAGACGGCCGG
rnacentral:lncRNA from 1 species